AAAGAUAUAUUGAAGAGCAAAGAGGGAUCUAAGCAGCAAGAAGAGUAUCUUUUUCUCAAUUCCAAAUUUUGUAUUGAAAUCCAAGCCCCCCCUUAUCCCAUUCAUUUUCACACAAACACAGAGAGUGCCCCUAUCUCUACUCCCAUGGCAUCUCUCAAUAUUCCUCCUUUCUCCAAAACCCUACACCCUAACUCUCAAUUCCAAAACCUCCCUAAAACCCCAACUUUUCUCCUCUCACUUUCCUCCUACCCUUUUGUCAGCACCUCUCUCUCUUCAAUUCCACUAGGAAAAAGUUCAAGACUCCCAGUUGUAAGAGCCAUUUCUGAUGGGGAAUACUCUUCUAAGAGGAGCAGUAGCAGCGAGGAAAGGGAGACUAUUAUGUUACCUGGCUGUGACUAUAACCAUUGGCUU
rnacentral:lncRNA from 1 species